rnacentral:rRNA from 1 species
AUGGCUAGGGGACAUGCCACAACCAUGCAAUACCCUCGUCUCUAUCAUAUUGUACAGCGGAAAGAUGCUUCUGUUGCAUCUGUGAUGGGCCACAUACCGUUGAAUUUUGCAUGUAGAAGACCACUGAUUGGGGACAAAUGGACAGACUGGUCAAAUCUCGUUGAAAGGUUUAUGAUGGUCAACCUUUCACACGAAUCAGGCACAUUCCAUUGGAAGUUGACUACUUCUGGUGCCUUCAUAGUCAAAUCUAUGUAUGCGGACCUCAUCAAUGAUGGGCAGCCUUUUCACCACAAAUAUAUAUGA